UCCUUUACUAUAUAACUUGCUUACAGGCUCCAGACUCAAUUGAUCCUCGCCCCAUGCUUCCUUCUGUACAUAAGGAAAGCCCUUCAGUCGACAUGUCCCCAAGGUCCAUCUAUCUGAGAAACAGUGUUAGAACUGCGACCAGAGCAAGGUAUGAAAAAGCAGAAAAUUGCCCAAAGCAGAGGAGAGGUAUUUUGCCUCCUUGAUUUCUCCCCUCACACUUGAAAUUCCUCUCCUCUACCAAGAUAUGCGUCGUUUUAGAAAUCAAGAAUGCCUUUGCUACCCGAGCAGUCCAGCCUGAAUCAUCUGUAUUAUAUUUCCCCGUCUUUUCAUCUCAAGAGUGGUAACAAGAUAUUGUGACUAUAUUUAUUGUCUGUUCUUGUAUCAUGCCCCUCCAGUUGUGAUGUCACCGAGCUGGGUGAGGGUUCGCCCAUAAGGCAAAAGAUCAGAACACAGCAAAAUUGCUCUUCCCAAUGCUACUGCUGCUCCCACUCCAGGGAACAGACGGAAAGAGCGAGGAGAGUAUACUUUUUGGCAAUCAGCGAACCUUUGAGGUUGAUAGGACGUAGUUCUUGCCUCAUUGGAUGAUUGAUCGCUGAUGGGAUAGGGUUCUUGCAGCUCUCUUCGACACAUAUACAUUUCAGCACUUUAAUCUUCGGUAGAUUUGCGGAACCAGUGGCAUGUCCGUUGGCAUGUGUUCCAGAUCUCCAAGGCUCCGGAACGGAGAGUCACUUUUUUUUUUUAACACAUUCUCCGCAGCAAGGACCCAACUAUGACCGCUCCCUGUGCAUUCGAGUAACCUCGGGCUACCGCAUCGAAAGCUUCACUAAUUAACCCGUACGCUAUGAUCCCGCAAGGCUGCUCGCUAUAUUGCGUUGCGGAGCCUGUCUCGGCAAUGCGCAUGAAGGACUCCCUUGUAAAAAAAGGCUAUUGCAAAACAAUAUGGUUCGUACUAGGAACGGACUGAUGAGAGAGAGGAGGGCUCGACUUGUUCGCUGUAUAACGAGCCGCCGUGGCUACAGGCCAUGUUGCAGAAGGUCAAGUAGCGUUUGAAGUUGCGGUUCAGGGAGAGGGGGAGUUAGGACGGGACAGGACGAAUCGUUCUGGGAUAUUUGGCAAGGGGAUUGGGGUGAGUUUCUUCAGAUCAUUGUUGUUACUAGUAACGGAAGGUUUUAAAGACAUUGGAUGAGUUUGCUGGCGCAUGGAUUGACGCUUGGAACUUGCUGCGAGCUUGCUGCGGCCUGCAGAAUCAAAACAAUGUUGGGUACGGUGCUGAUUUAUUAUUGCAUCUUCCAACGCACGUCGUGUCCUUCGGAACUCCGAACGGGACCCCCGAUGGCGCGAGAGGAGCCCUGAUGAUGAACUUACGCUCUAUGUGUAUGCUUGGGGGUUUUUCCUUUUGUAGCAGUAGUGCAACUGAACUAUUUUUAGCUGUAAGCGCUUAUGCAUUCAAGCGAGCGGGCAUGAAGGAGAAAUUUAAUUAAGCAUUUCGGUAGUUAUUAGCGCCUGUUUUGUGUCUCUUGCCGUUGCAGGCUAAUAGAGUAUAUGGCUCUGCAGUUCGUUGAUAUUGUUCGUUAUUGAGAAUGGGCUUGCUGGGAGAAGCAUCUAUAGGGUACUCUGUAGAGAUAAGAAAAUGCAC
rnacentral:sRNA from 2 species